GUGAAGAUUGUAUGUCCAAAUUUACAGUUCUGUUUUAUCAGAUGGCCAAGUGUGAUGGUUGUAAACGACAGGGUAAACUAAGCGAGUCCAUAAAGUGGCGAGGCAACAUUAAACAUUUCUGUAACCUAUUUUGUGUCUUGGAGUUUUGUCAUCAGCAAAUUAUGAAUGACUGUCUUCCACAAAAUAAAGUAAAUAUUUCUAAAGCAAAAACUGCUGUGACGGAGCUCCCUUCUGCAAGGACAGAUACAACACCAGUUAUAACCAGUGUGAUGUCAUUGGCAAAAAUACCUGCUACCUUAUCUACAGGGAACACUAACAGUGUUUUAAAAGGUGCAGUUACUAAAGAGGCAGCAAAGAUCAUUCAAGAUGUGAGUUUAAUUGUUAAUACUUUUCUUGAUAAUGCCACUUGGGCUUAUUUUCACUUUGGAUAUGGCAUUCUAAUAUAUCUGAAUACUUUUCUUUUUGCUGGAA
rnacentral:lncRNA from 1 species